UCGUGGGUCUCUGACGCUUCC
rnacentral:misc_RNA from 1 species